CAUUCUUCAUAAACUACUUCC
rnacentral:tRNA from 1 species